rnacentral:rRNA from 1 species
CUACGGGAGGCACCAGUGAGGAAUAUUGCACAAUGGGGGAAACCCUGAUGCAGCAACGCCGCGUGGAGGAUGACGCAUUUCGGCGUGUAAACUCCUUUUAUAUGUCAAGAAAAUGACGGUAGCAUAUGAAUAAGCACCGGCUAACUCCGUGCCAGCAGCCGCGGUAAUACGGAGGGUGCAAGCGUUACUCGGAAUCACUGGGCGUAAAGGACGCGUAGGCUGGUUGGUAAGUCAGGUGUGAAAUCCUACAGCUUAACUGUAGAACUGCACUUGAAACUACCAACCUAGAGCAUGGGAGGGGGAGAUGGAAUUAGUGGUGUAGGGGUAAAAUCCGUAGAUAUCACUAGGAAUACCGAAAGCGAAGGCGAUCUCCUGGAACAUAACUGACGCUAAGGCGUGAAAGCGUGGGGAGCAAACAGGAUUAGAUACCCUCGUAGUC